AGGAUGAACGCUGGCGGCGUGCUUAACACAUGCAAGUCGAACGAUGAAGCCGGGAGCUUGCUCCUGGUGGAUUAGUGGCGAACGGGUGAGUAACACGUGAGUAACCUGCCCCAGACUCUGGGAUAAGCACUGGAAACGGUGUCUAAUACCGGAUACGAGCUUCCACCGCAUGGUGAGGAGCUGGAAGGAAUUUCGGUCUGGGAUGGACUCGCGGCCUAUCAGCUUGUUGGUGAGGUAAUGGCUCACCAAGGCGACGACGGGUAGCCGGCCUGAGAGGGUGACCGGCCACACUGGGACUGAGACACGGCCCAGACUCCUACGGGAGGCAGCAGUGGGGAAUAUUGCACAAUGGGCGCAAGCCUGAUGCAGCAACGCCGCGUGAGGACGAAGGCCUUCGGUGUAACUCUUUAGUAGGAGAGCGAGGUGUUAUUCACUUCAUGACGGUACUGACAGAAAAGCACCGACUAACUACGUACCAGCAGACCG
rnacentral:rRNA from 1 species